UACGUAGGGGGCUAGCGUUGUCCGGAAUCAUUGGGCGUAAAGCGCGCGUAGGCUGCCAGAUAAGUCCGGUGUGAAAGUCAAAGGCUCAACCUUUGAAUGCCGCUGGAAACUGUCUGGCUAGAGUCCGGAAGGGGCGAGUGGAACUCCUGGUGUAGCGGUGAAAUGCGCAGAUAUCAGGAAGAACACCAAUGGCGAAGGCAGCUCGCUAGGACGGUACUGACGCUGAGGCGCGAAAGCGUGGGGAGCAAACAGG
rnacentral:rRNA from 1 species